CAGUCGACGGGAUCCCUGGCAGCUUGCUGUCGGGGUGAGAGUGGCGAACGGGUGAGUAAUGCGUGACCAACCUGCCCUGUGCACCGGAAUAGCUCCUGGAAACGGGUGGUAAUACCGGAUGCUCCGCUCCAUCGCAUGGUGGGGUGGGAAAUGCUUUUGCGGCAUGGGAUGGGGUCGCGUCCUAUCAGCUUGUUGGCGGGGUGAUGGCCCACCAAGGCGUUGACGGGUAGCCGGCCUGAGAGGGUGACCGGCCACAUUGGGACUGAGAUACGGCCCAGACUCCUACGGGAGGCAGCAGUGGGGAAUAUUGCACAAUGGGCGCAAGCCUGAUGCAGCGACGCCGCGUGCGGGAUGGAGGCCUUCGGGUUGUAAACCGCUUUUGUUCAAGGGCAAGGCACGGUUUCGGCCGUGUUGAGUGGAUUGUUCGAAUAAGCACCGGCUAACUACGUGCCAGCAGCCGCGGUAAUACGUAGGGUGCGAGCGUUAUCCGGAUUUAUUGGGCGUAAAGGGCUCGUAGGCGGUUCGUCGCGUCCGGUGUGAAAGUCCAUCGCCUAACGGUGGAUCUGCGCCGGGUACGGGCGGGCUGGAGUGCGGUAGGGGAGACUGGAAUUCCCGGUGUAACGGUGGAAUGUGUAGAUAUCGGGAAGAACACCAAUGGCGAAGGCAGGUCUCUGGGCCGUCACUGACGCUGAGGAGCGAAAGCGUGGGGAGCGAACAGGAUUAGAUACCCUGGUAGUCCACGCCGUAAACGGUGGAUGCUGGAUGUGGGGCCCUUUCCACGGGUCCCGUGUCGGAGCCAACGCGUUAAGCAUCCCGCCUGGGGAGUACGGCCGCAAGGCUAAAACUCAAAGAAAUUGACGGGGGCCCGCACAAGCGGCGGAGCAUGCGGAUUAAUUCGAUGCAACGCGAAGAACCUUACCUGGGCUUGACAUGUGCCGGAUCGCCGUGGAGACACGGUUUCCCUUCGGGGCCGGUUCACAGGUGGUGCAUGGUCGUCGUCAGCUCGUGUCGUGAGAUGUUGGGUUAAGUCCCGCAACAAGCGCAACCCUCGCCGCAUGUUGCCAGCGGGUGGAUGCCGGGGAACUCAU
rnacentral:rRNA from 1 species